rnacentral:rRNA from 1 species
UACGUAGGGUGCGAGCGUUGUCCGGAAUGACUGGGCGUAAAGGGCGCGUAGGCGGCUCGUGAAGUCGGGUGUGAAAGCCCGGGGCUCAACCCCGGAACGGCAUCCGAUACUGGCGGGCUUGAGACCGGGAGAGGAGGGUGGAAUACCCAGUGUAGAGGUGAAAUUCGUAGAUAUUGGGUGGAACACCGGUGGCGAAGGCGGGUCUCUGGGCCGUAACUGACGCUGAGGAGCGAAAGCGUGGGGAGCGAACAGG